UUGCUAAGGCCGAUGGCGACCGGCGCACGGGUGAGUAACGCGUAUCCAACCUUCCCCUUAUUCGGGCAUAGCCCGUAGAAAUGCGGAUUAAUACCCUAUGUUUUCCAAUGAGGACAUCUGAGCUGGAACAAAGGUUUACCGCUAAGGGAUGGGGAUGCGUCUGAUUAGGUUGUUGGCGGGGUAACGGCCCACCAAGCCUACGAUCAGUAGGGGUUCUGAGAGGAAGGUCCCCCACAUUGGAACUGAGACACGGUCCAAACUCCUACGGGAGGCAGCAGUGAGGAAUAUUGGUCAAUGGACUAGCGCCCCGCCCCUAGCCAAGUAGCGUGCAGGAUGACGGCCCUAUGGGUUGUAAACUGCUUUUAUAUAGGGAUAAAUGUUCACUACGUGUAGUGUUUUGUAGUACUAUAUGAAUAAUGACCGGCUAAUUCCGUGCCAGCAGCCGCGGUAAUACGGAAGGUCCGGGCGUUAUCCGGGAUUUAUUGGGUUUAAAGGGAGCGCAGCUGAUGAUUAAGCGUGACGUGAAAUGUAGCCGCUCAACGGCUGAACUGCGU
rnacentral:rRNA from 1 species